rnacentral:rRNA from 1 species
UACGUAGGGGGCGAGCGUUGUCCGGAUUUAUUGGGCGUAAAGAGCUCGUAGGCGGUUUGGCAAGUCGGGUGUGAAAACUCCGGCUCAACUCGGAGACGCCACUCGAUACUGCCAUGACUAGAGGUAGGUAGGGGAGAAUGGAAUUCCCGGUGUAGCGGUGAAAUGCGCAGAUAUCGGGAGGAACACCGGUGGCGAAGGCGGUUCUCUGGGCCGUUACCUGACGCUGAGGAGCGAAAGCGUGGGGAGCGAACAGG